rnacentral:rRNA from 1 species
AUACGUAGGGUGCGAGCGUUGUCCGGAAUUACUGGGCGUAAAGAGCUCGUAGGUGGUUUGUCGCGUCGUCUGUGAAAUUCCGGGGCUUAACUCCGGGCGUGCAGGCGAUACGGGCAUAACUUGAGUACUGUAGGGGAGACUGGAAUUCCUGGUGUAGCGGUGAAAUGCGCAGAUAUCAGGAGGAACACCGGUGGCGAGGGCGGGUCUCUGGGCGGGAACUGACGCUGAGGAGCGAAAGCAUGGGUAGCGAACAGGAUUAGAUCCCCUGGUAGUCCAUGCCGUAAACGGUGGGCGCUAGGUGUAGGGGUCUUCCACGACUUCUGUGCCGUAGCUAACGCAUUAAGCGCCCCGCCUGGGGAGUACGGCCGCAAGGCUAAAACUCAAAGGAAUUGACGGGG